rnacentral:rRNA from 1 species
AUUAAACGCUGGCGGCAUGCCUUACACAUGCAAGUCGAACGGCAGCACGGGGGCAACCCUGGUGGCGAGUGGCGGACGGGUGAGUAAAGCAUCGGAAUGUAUCCUGGAGUGGGGGAUAACGUAGCGAAAGUUACGCUAAUACCGCAUAUUCUGUGAGCAGGAAAGCAGGGGAUCGCAAGACCUUGCGCUCUGGGAGCGGCCGAUGUCGGAUUAGCUAGUUGGUGGGGUAAAGGCCUACCAAGGCGACGAUCCGUAGCGGGUCUGAGAGGAUGAUCCGCCACACUGGGACUGAGACACGGUCCCGACUCCUACGGGGGGCAGCAGUGAGGAAUAUUGGGCAAUGGGCGCAAGCCUGACCCAGCAACGCCGCGUGGAGGAAGACGGCC